UACGUAGGGUGCAAGCGUUGUCCGGAAUUAUUGGGCGUAAAGAGCUCGUAGGCGGCUUGUCACGUCGACUGUGAAAACCCGGGGCUCAACUCCGGGCCUGCAGUCGAUACGGGCUGGCUUGAGUGCGGUAGGGGAGACUGGAAUUCCUGGUGUAGCGGUGAAAUGCGCAGAUAUCAGGAGGAACACCGGUGGCGAAGGCGGAUCUCUGGGCCGAUACUGACGCUGAGGUGCGAAAGCGUGGGGAGCAAACAGG
rnacentral:rRNA from 1 species